AGCUCCAGUAGCGUAUACUAAAGUUGUUGCAGUUAAAAAGCUCGUAGUUGGAUUUCUGGUGCCGAUGCAGCCGGUCCGCUCGCGUAAGCGAGUCGAGUACCAGUCGCGUCCACCAUCCUUCCGGAGAGUCGCGUCUGCCUUUAACUGGGUUGGGCGCGCGAUCCGGAUCGUUUACUUUGAAAAAAUUAGAGUGUUCAAAGCAGGCUCGCGCCUUGAAUACAUUAGCAUGGAAUAAUAAGAUAGGACUUGGGUUCUAUUUUGUUGGUUUCUAGAACCGAAGUAAUGAUUGAUAGGGAUAGUUGGGGGUGCUAGUAUUCAACGGCCAGAGGUGAAAUUCUUGGAUUCGUUGAAGACUAACUAGUGCGAAAGCAUUCACCAAGGAUGUCUUCUUUAAUCAAGA
rnacentral:rRNA from 1 species